CAGUAGCCGCGGUAAUACGUAGGGUGCGAGCGUUAAUCGGAAUUACUGGGCGUAAAGCGUGCGUAGGCGGCUUCUUAAGUCGGAUGUGAAAUCCCUGAGCUUAACUUAGGAAUUGCAUUCGAUACUGGGAAGCUAGAGUAUGGGAGAGGAUGGUAGAAUUCCAGGUGUAGCGGUGAAAUGCGUAGAGAUCUGGAGGAAUACCGAUGGCGAAGGCAGCCAUCUGGCCUAAUACUGACGCUGAGGUACGAAAGCAUGGGGAGCAAACAGGAUUAGAUACCCCCGUAGUCCCUGUCUCUUAUAC
rnacentral:rRNA from 1 species